CCUACGGGAGGCUGCAGUGAGGAAUAUUGGUCAAUGGACGAGAGUCUGAACCAGCCAAGUAGCGUGAAGGAUGACUGCCCUAUGGGUUGUAAACUUCUUUUAUAUGGGAAUAAAACGUUCCACGUGUGGGAUUUUGUAUGUACCAUAUGAAUAAGGAUCGGCUAACUCCGUGCCAGCAGCCGCGGUAAUACGGAGGAUCCGAGCGUUAUCCGGAUUUAUUGGGUUUAAAGGGAGCGUAGGUGGAUUGUUAAGUCAGUUGUGAAAGUUUGCGGCUCAACCGUAAAAGUGCAGUUGAAACUGGCAGUCUUGAGUACAGUAGAGGUGGGCGGAAUUCGUGGUGUAGCGGUGAAAUGCUUAGAUAUCACGAAGAACUCCGAUUGCGAAGGCAGUUCACUGGACUGCAACUGACACUGAGGCUCGAAAGUGUGGGUAUCAAACAGGAUUAGAUACCCGGGUAGUC
rnacentral:rRNA from 1 species